rnacentral:rRNA from 1 species
GAGUUUACGCUCUACAACCCUUUGUGAACAUACCUAUAACUGUUGCUUCGGCGGGUAGGGUCUCCGUGACCCUCCCGGCCUCCCGCCCCCGGGCGGGUCGGCGCCCGCCGGAGGAUAACCAAACUCUGAUUUAACGACGUUUCUUCUGAGUGGUACAAGCAAAUAAUCAAAACUUUUAACAACGGAUCUCUUGGUUCUGGCAUCGAUGAAGAACGCAGCGAAAUGCGAUAAGUAAUGUGAAUUGCAGAAUUCAGUGAAUCAUCGAAUCUUUGAACGCACAUUGCGCCCGCCAGCAUUCUGGCGGGCAUGCCUGUUCGAGCGUCAUUUCAACCCUCAAGCUCUGCUUGGUGUUGGGGCCCUACAGCUGAUGUAGGCCCUCAAAGGUAGUGGCGGACCCUCCCGGAGCCUCCUUUGCGUAGUAACUUUACGUCUCGCACUGGGAUCCGGAGGGACUCUUGCCGUAAAACCCCCAAUUUUCCAAAGGUUGACCUCGGAUCAGGUAGGAAUACCCGCUGAACUUAAGCAUAUCAAUAAGCGGAGGAAAAGAAACCAACAGGGAUUGCCUCAGUAACGGCGAGUGAAGCGGCAACAGCUCAAAUUUGAAAUCUGGCCCUAGGCCCGAGUUGUAAUUUGCAGAGGAUGCUUUUGGUGCGGUGCCUUCCAAGUUCCCUAGAACGGGACGCCAGAGAGGGUGAGAGCCCCGUACAGUUGGACACCAAGCCUUUGUAAAGCUCCUUCGACGAGUCGAGUAGUUUGGGAAUGCUGCUCAAAAUGGGAGGUAUAUUUCUUCUAAAGCUAAAUACCGGCCAGAGACCGAUAGCGCACAAGUAGAGUGAUCGAAAGAUGAAAAGCACUUUGAAAAGAGGGUUAAACAGCACGUGAAAUUGUUAAAAGGGAAGCGCUUGUGACCAGACUUGCGUCCGGUGAAUCACCCAGCUCUCGCGGCUGGGGCACUUCGCCGGCUCAGGCCAGCAUCAGCUCGCUGUCGGGGACAAAAGCUUCAGGAACGUAGCUCUCUUCGGGGAGUGUUAUAGCCUGUUGCAUAAUACCCUUCGGCGGGCUGA